CAUCGUUACUUUUUUCAUAUAUUUUAUUCAUUGUUCUUUAUUUCUCCACAUUGUCGUCGAUAUCUCUUAUUUCCCUUCUCCCUAACCAGUCUGAAGAAGGGUCUCGACCCGAAACGUCACCCAUUCCUUCUCUCCAGAGAUGCUGCGUGCCUGAGUUACUCCAGCUUUUUGUGUCUAUCUUCGGUUUAACCCAGCAUCUGCAGUUCCUUCUUACACAUUUCGUCUGCUCUUUGUUACGGUCGGUUCGACGAAGCUGAGCCGGAGUGUGCGGAGGGGCGGCGGCUCCGCCCGGCGUGCUGUGUUAUUGGUUGCGGAAGGGAGGCGAGGGAGGGGUUUGAAGCUGUCGGCCGCGGGUAGACAGCGGUAGGUAGGCAGGCAGGCAGGCAGUGCAGACAGAUAGAUAGUGUAGACGGGCCGGCCGGCUGCGGGAGCUCAGCUUCCCCCUUCCACUAUCACGGUCAAUGGCUCCGGCACAAGGUGGUGGCGGGAGCCCGGGACACUCGGCGCUCAGGGCGGCCGUGGCCUGCGGCUGACCAUGUAGAGGGAGCGGCGCAAUGGCCGAGAGCAGUGGCAGCGUGCAGGCGGUCAAAGUGUGGCGGGAGGCGGCGCUGCGUUGCAGGAAACUCCGCAGCAACCUCCGGCAGCUGAGCCUGAGCAGCGCCGGCGACCAGCGCCUCUCCCUGCCCGACAACAUCAGUCAGGUGCAGAUCCUCGACCUGGCCAACAACUCGCUGCGGGAGCUGCCCGAUGGCCUGGACGCGUCGCUCACCAACCUGCGGGCGCUGAUCCUUCGGAGGAACCGCCUGUGCCGCCUGCCCGCCCCAGUCUGCGCCCUGGACCAGCUGGCCGAGCUGGACCUGGCUCACAACUGCCUGGCGCAGCUACCCGGAGAGCUGGGCCGCUUGCAGCGCCUCAAGAAGCUGUGUCUCAGCCACAACAAGCUGCAGCAGCUGCCGCCGCAGAUCGCCGCGCUACUCUGCCUGGAGGAGCUGGACAUCAGCUUCAAUGAGCUGGGCCAGUUGCCGCCCACCUUCGGGCAGCUACAGCGGCUGCGGACCCUGGACCUGGACCACAACAGGCUGAGCUGCUUCCCGCAACAGAUCCUGCGCCUCGGCGAGCUGGAGGAACUGGACUUCUCGGGCAACAAGAUCGACGCUCUGCCGCAGGAGAUCCUGCAGCUGCGCUCCAUGAAAAUCCUUUGGCUGAGCGGCCUGAGACUGUCCGACCUGCCCGAGACCUUCUGCCAACUCACGGCGCUGGAGAGCCUGAUGUUGGACAACAACAGAUUGCGCUCGCUGCCCCAGAGUUUCGGCCUCCUGGAGAAGCUCAAGAUGAUCAAUUUGUCCUCCAACCUGUUCGAGGACUUCCCCAGCGCCCUACUGGGGCUGUGCAGCCUGGAGGAGCUGUACCUGAGCAGGAACAGGCUGUCUGUGAUCCCGCAGAAGAUCGGCAACAUGUCCAGGUUGGCCACACUGUGGCUGGACAACAACAGGGUGCGCUACCUGCCCGACUCUAUCGUCAGCCUGUGUCACCUGGAGGAGCUGGUGCUACAGGGCAACCAGAUCGCCAUCCUGCCCGACUCGUUCGGCCAGCUCUCCAAAGUCAGCCUGUGGAAGAUCAAGGAUAACCCAUUGAUCCAGCCGCCCUACGAGGUGUGCAUGAAGGGCAUCCCCUACAUCGCGGCCUACCAGAAGGAGCUGGCGCUGUCGCAGCCGGCGCUCAAACCCCGACUCAAGCUGGUGCUCCUGGGACCUAAGGACGCCGGCAAGACUUCGCUGCGGCAGUGCCUGGUCGGCAGCAAACUCAGCUCCCCGGCCGUGCAGAGCAAAGGCAUCGAGGUGACCCAGUGGGUGGCGGACGCCGAGAACAACCUGACUUUUAUCGUCUACGAUUUGGCUGGGGAUGCGAACUACGAGCCCAUCCAGCCGUUCUUCCUCUCGCCGGGCGCCCUGUAUGUGCUGGUGGUGAGCCUGAGAGCGUACGCGCCGCGCCGCUUUUACCAACAGGUCGGGUACUACCUGCACUUGCUGGGGGCUCGAGUGCCCCACGGCGUGGUGUGUGUGGUGGGGGCGCAUGUGGACGAGUGCAGCGAGCGGGAGGUGGAGGAGAAAUGCCUGGACAUCCACCAGCAGAUCGCCGUGCAGGAGAAGCGAGACGUGGAGUGCAUGCAGGCGCUGGCCGGCCAGGUGGACGGGGCGCUGGGCCAGGGCCGGGGGCUGGAUCUGCGGGCCGCCAGCCCGCACGCCCCCUUCUACGGCGUGUGCGAGAAGAACCUGCGCAGGAAGAAGGCCCAGCUGCAGUACCUGCUCAACCACCGGCUGCAGAUCCUGUCCCCGGUCAUCGGCGUCAGCUGCUGCCGCGGGCGGCCGGCCGGCAUCGGCCGCCUCAAGGACAAGUUGCUGUCGGUGGCCGAGCACCGCCAGAUCUUCCCCAACCUACACCGGGUGCUGCCCCGCUCCUGGCAGCGGCUGGAGGAGCUGCACUACCGGCCUCAGCGCCUGUGGCUGUCGUGGUGGGACUCUGCCCGCCUGGGGCUACAGGCCGGCCUGACCGAGGACCGGCUGCAGAGCGCCCUGUCCUACCUGCACGAAAGCGGCAAGUUGCUUUACUUCGAGGACAGCCCGCCCCUCCGGGAGUGCGUCUUCCACAACCUGACCGGGCUGAUCGACAUCCUCAACGUCUUCUUCCAGCGCGACGCGUCGCUGCUGCUGCACAAGCUGCUGGCCGGCGCCGACGUGGACGAGCUGAGGGCAGCGCAGCUCCAGCACUUCGUGGAGGGCUUCUUGCUCCACGGGCUGCUCCCGCUGCACGUUAUCCGGCUGCUGCUCAAGCCGCACAUCAACACGCAGCAGGACCUCCACCUCAUCCUGCAGCUGCUGGAGAAGAUGGGGCUCAGUUACUGUCUCAACAAGCCCAAGACGACCCCUCUGAACGGCGCGGCGGUGUGGUUCAAGUUCCCCAGCUACGUGAAGAACGAGGUGCCCCACGCCGAGGCCUGGAUCAAUGGUUUCAAUCUCUCCGGGCAGCCCAUCGCCGUCGAGCAGUUACAGGUGGAGUACAGUUUCCCCUUUCUGUUCCCACCAGGCCUAUUUGCCAGAUACAGCGUCCAGAUCAACUCUCACAUUGUGCAGCGGUCAGAUGGCAAAUAUCAGAUCUUUGCCUACAGGGGCAAGGUCCCGGUGGUCAUCAGCCACAAACCCUCCCAAAGCUGUCUGCAAGCGGACACCUUAUCUAUUGCCAGCCACGCUACCUUGCCAAAUAUUUGGACUGCAUGGCAAGCCAUAAUCCCUCUGGUGGAAGAACUAAACGUGCUCCUCCAGGAGUGGCCGGGAUUAUACUUCUCUGUGCACGUCCUGUGUUCCAAGUGCCUUAAAAGAGGGUCCUCAAAUCCUCACGCCUUCCCAGGGGAACUAUUGACCCAAUCCAGGCCUGAAGGGGUGACGGAGAUUAUCUGCCCCAAGAAUGGGAGUGAGCGUGUGGACGUGGCCCUGAUUUACCCCCCGACCCCCACUGUGAUCAGUCCCUGCUGUAAGUGAGAAUGGCCCACCCUGCUAGUCUCCAUCAGAAAAGAUAUCUUUAAAAUUCUGUUCAAAUAUUUGGGAGACAAGUUAUUUAGCAAGAAUAAGGUUGAUGUGUAGCGAGGCAUUGUGAACAGUAGAGGAAUGUCUAUUUAUCCAUGGAUAUGUGAAGAGGAGACUGGAAGCUCUGAACAUGGAUGCUCUUUGACAGUGGAUUCAAUGGGCAUGGGCAGAGGAUCUCGAGCCAGACCACUGACUUUCUCGAUUCCACGCACGAAGCUGGGAAAGAGGUGUUGUUGUUCACUACAAAAUGUCCUCCCUUGGAUGAAGAAUGGAGGAUUUUUAUCGUUUGAAAGCAGAUUGACCCACUUAACUUAUUCUUUUCAUGGACAAUGCAGUAUAGACAAUCUACAAAGUGCGCAGGAGUUGUUCACCCAACAGCAUUUCCCAUAUCUGCGACUGCUACCAAGGACAAAGGCAACAGGCACAUAGGAAAACCACAAACUGUAGGCCCCACUUGGAAGUCUCAGACCAUCUUGAUUUGGAAAUAAAUCACGGAUCCUUCAGCGUCGCUGGAUCCAUAAUCCUUGAGCUUCAGCUUCAGCUUGAGCAACAGUGCCAGGGGAGUACCUUUACCAGAAAGAUGGCACUGGCUCAUCACCACCUUCCUGAAGGCAAUUAAGAAUGGGCAGUAAAUCUUGGCUUCCUCAUCCUGAAAAAUUAAUAAAUAAUAAGAAAGACACACACACAGUUCCACCAUCUAUUUCUGGAACAAGUGGCUCCUCAGGGAUUUUCUUUUGCAGUGUUUAAUGAAAGCCAUAUUCCUACAAAGUGUUGUAGGAAUAAAAUGCCAAAAGUGAUGUUUCCGUUCUUGAGUAGGCUCAGAUCAUUCAGAGUCUGCAAAAGCGCAUCACCACCAUUUUAUUGUUUAAACUUAUUGAAAGGUAUAAUUUAGAAUCUGCAUUAUUUUAAAGUUUGUGCAAUACUCGGUGUAACAAAACAGACUAUGCACGCUGCUUCCUUCGCCCUUGUUCAGACCAGUUUUGAAGCCCCUUAACUGACCCCUAUCAACCUUCCAGAUCUGCUUGGGGUUGAAAAAUUGGAUUAAAACAUCAAUUCCAAAUUGUCACUAUAUGUUGUGAGGUAUUAAAAUGUAAUUUUAUUAUAACACUGGGGAACAAUUAUUUGAAAGUUGCAUUUUAUUUUACAAAGAUAAAUCUGAAAAUCUGCAUUUUCAUUGUCAACACCUCUCAUCUCCGUCCCAGUACAACCCAUUGAGUGGGUUCUUCCAAUUGCAUCCAUUCAGUAAUAGCACUCUCAUCCCCAAGUCAGAAGCUUGUGAAUUCAAGUUCCACUGCAGAGAAUGACCACGUGUGCCAGGCUGGCACGACAGGGCAGUAUCGCGCAGAGCUGAGCUUUUGGAGCUGCCCUUUUCCAAAUGAGAUACCAAACCCUCUUGGAAGAUCAGAUUCAGUCCUACAGUGUUACUUGAAGUUCAGGGGAUAUUCCCAGGUGGGCUGGACAACACUUAUUUCAUCCACCAAAAAAAAUCAUUACUCAAUUGUUCAUUCAUUUACUGUUUGUGGAAGUUUGCUGUGUGAAAAAAUGUUGGGCAAGGUUGCCUACAGAAGAAUGACAACAUUUCAGGAGGUAAUCCGUUGAAUGUGAAGUGUGUUGGGACAUCCUGAGGACAUGCCAAGGCAGUCCAAAAAGAUGAGCUUUUACUGCUCCAAAGGAAAUUGUAGAAUUGUGUAUCAUUAAAACAAAAGUGUUUUUCUUUUAAUCAAUUAAUCUGAAAAAAAGUGAGAAUCAGUGCACCCUACAAAUAUCUUAUUUUUUAUGUCUUGUUAAUGAACAUGUAUUGCGAUGGAACUGAAACAUUUGCACAUCAGUCACCUUGAAUAAUAACACUUAUUAAAAGAAUCAUUGGAAAAUG